GGCAAUAACAGGUCUGUG
rnacentral:misc_RNA from 1 species